rnacentral:lncRNA from 1 species
AAAGCUUACGGUCUCUUUAGUAAAGGGAUAGAAUGUGGACAACAAUGGCGCCGCAAGCAAAACUCUUGGCUUCUUUCCUAUCUGUUCUCACAGAGAUUAAGAUGCUUACAUCAAAACGGUGCUCGGAUCCACUGUGCGCGAACAUCUCGAGAGUGGUCGCAAGCCGGACAGUGGUCUGAACAGCGAUGCGAUGUUUUUCGUCCAUUUGCUAGAAUAGAGCACGGAACCCUAAAAUUCAAAUGGGCAU